UACGGGGGGAGCUAGCGUUGUUCGGAAUUACUGGGCGUAAAGCGUACGUAGGCGGCUUUGGAAGUUAGAGGUGAAAGCCUGGAGCUCAACUCCAGAACUGCAUUUAAGACUGCAUCGCUCGAGUCCAGGAGAGGUGAGUGGAAUUCCGAGUGUAGAGGUGAAAUUCGUAGAUAUUCGGAAGAACACCAGUGGCGAAGGCGGCUCACUGGACUGGUAUUGACGCUGAGGUGCGAAAGCGUGGGGAGCAAACAGG
rnacentral:rRNA from 1 species